rnacentral:piRNA from 1 species
UUCUGUCCUCAGAGCAAUAACAUUUGCUGC